CUUUGUUUACAUUCAAAUCUUUAUUUGAAAGUGAAUAAGCGCGUAUAUGGUAAAUUUGUGAUUUUGUGCGUUUUAGUGUAAAUUUAAAUAAACUAAAAAGACUGUGAGGAAAAAAGGGGCUCUGACGACACAACUUUUUAUUUUAUGAAAGAUUGCGGAGAGAAUGGCUCAUAAUUUCGGAGGAGGUUCUGACAUGGUUUGGACAGCCAUUAGUGUCAGAGGUAAAAGACGAAGUACUUAUAACUAUUUUUGAUGAUAAUUUCGACGAGGAAUGGAUUUCCCAGCAUGACAACGCUACCCUUUAUGCUAGCAAAGGAAGAAAAGCAUUUUUGGCAGCGAAAAAAUACUUAUUUUAGAACGGCCUGCCUGCAGCCUUGUCCUAAACCCAACCGAAAAUGUGUGGGUAAUACUUUCUCAAUCGGUUUUCAAAAAUGUAUCAAAAUUUAUUAUAAAAACCUUAAUCUAAUCAACUAAUAAUCAAAGGAGGAUCUCCAAAACAAAUA